GAUGAACGCUAGCGGCAGGCCUAACACAUGCAAGUCGAGGGAGAAGCCUUUCGGGGCAGAAACCGGCGCACGGGUGCGUAACGCGUAUGCAACCUACCUUUCACAGGGGGGAUAGCCCGAAGAAAUUUGGAUUAAUACCCCAUAAUAUUGUUGGAUGGCAUCAUCUGACAAUUAAAACUGCGGUGGUGAAAGAUGGGCAUGCGUCCUAUUAGCUAGUUGGAGUGGUAAUGGCACCCCAAGGCUACGAUAGGUAGGGGUCCUGAGAGGGAGAUCCCCCACACUGGUACUGAGACAGGGACCAGACUCCUACGGGAGGCAGCAGUGAGGAAUAUUGGUCAAUGGUCGGAAGACUGAACCAGCCAUGCCGCGUGCAGGAAGAAUGCCUUAUGGGUUGUAAACUGCUUUUAUAUGGGAAGAAUAAGGUGUACGUGUACAUUGAUGACGGUACCAUAUGAAUAAGCAUCGGCUAACUCCGUGCCAGCAGCCGCGGUAAUACGGAGGAUGCGAGCGUUAUUCGGAAUCAUUGGGUUUAAAGGGUCUGUAGGCGGGCUAUUAAGUCAGGGGUGAAAGGUUUCAGCUUAACUGAGAAAUUGCCUUUGAUACUGGUAGUCUUGAAUAUCUGUGAAGUUCUUGGAAUGUGUAGUGUAGCGGUGAAAUGCUUAGAUAUUACACAGAACACCGAUUGCGGAGGCAGGGGACUAACAGACGAUUGACGCUGAGAGACGAAAGCGUGGGGAGCGAACAGG
rnacentral:rRNA from 1 species